UAAUACGAAGGGAACUAGCGUUGUUCGGAAUCACUGGGCGUAAAGCGGGCGCAGGCGGACUGUCAAGUCAGGGGUGAAAUCCUGAGGCUUAACCUCAGAAUUGCCUUUGAAACUGACAGUCUGGAGUGUGUGAGGGGGUAGCGGAAUUCCGAAUGUAGAGGUGAAAUUCGUAGAUAUUCGGAGGAACACCGGUGGCGAAGGCGGCUACCUGGCACACAACUGACGCUGAGGUCCGAAAGCGUGGGGAUCAAACAGGAUUAGAUACCCUGGUAGUCCACGCCCUAAACGAUGAAUGCUAGCUGUUGGUCCUUUAGGAUCAGUGGCGUCGCUAACGCAUUAAGCAUUCCGCCUGGGGAGUACGGUCGCAAGAUUA
rnacentral:rRNA from 1 species